ACCCUUGUUUGGUGCAUACGCAUGAUGAUGGGCGUCUUCAUCAUCAUGUGAAGUAUGAUUCCCUCGAGCCUUGUUACAUCAUCCUAGUACCUGACUGACA
ensembl:snoRNA